GAGGAUAGCAGCUACAGGCCAGGGCGAGAGGCCUCAGAGGAAACCAGUCCUGCUGACUCUUUGAACUCGGACUUCCAGCCUCCAGAACUCAUUUAGAGGCCACCAACAUUGAAUAACCACACUGGGGUAGACACAGCGGCGAAGAGAUUCCUGCUGUUCCCAUCACAGCAGCCUUGGAGAUGAGAAGACAGAUGGAUCUGACCAGAAGUCUGGAGAACUUCGAGAAAAAAGGAGGAGGACACAAAAGGAAAUAACAAAAAAGAUGCAUCCGGAGCAACUAUGAGGAUGGUAAAUUGGUGUCUAAUUCUGAAAAUCAUAAUUGGUAUAAAUGCUAUGUACUGUGGAAGGAGGGAUGAAGGGUAGAGGGAAUAAAAAAGAACAUGAAGUUAGAAUCCUUGGCAUGAAAGCCUGCCAUUU
rnacentral:lncRNA from 1 species